AUGACUUUGAGCUCCAUCCUCAUCUGGACUCUCCUCUGCUGCUGCUUGACAGAGUCCAGAGGCCAGGUCACAGUGACUCAGCCAGGAGCAGUGAGGGCUGCUCUGGGAGCCUCCAUCACCAUCACAUGUAAAACCAGCCAGAGGGUUUAUGUUGGGAGCUCUUUAGCCUGGUACCAACAGAAAGAUGGAGAAAUUCCUAAGCUGCUCAUUUACUGGACUAAUUCUCGAGCAUCAGGGAUUCCAGGUCGUUUUACAGGCAGUGGAUCAGGGAGUGACUUCACUCUGACCAUCAGUGGAGUCCAGGCUGAAGAUGCAGCAGUUUACUACUGUCAGAGUCUCCAUGAAAUCAACAGUCAGAGACUGUGGUACACUUUUGGUGGAGGAACCAGACUGGAUGUUGGAAGUGACGCCCCUCCCACCCUGACGGUGCUGCCCCCCUCCAGAGAGGAGCUGCAGCAGGGGAGGGCCACGCUCAUGUGCCUGGCCAACAAGGGCUUCCCCUCAGACUGGAGGCUGGCCUGGAAGGUGGACGGCAGCAGCAGCAGCAGCAGCAGCUGGGAGCAGAGCAGGAGCCCCGGGGUGCUGGAGAAGGACGGCCUCUACAGCUGGAGCAGCACCCUGAGGCUCACUGCAGACCAGUGGAGGAAGCUGGGCUCUGUCACCUGUGAGGCCACCCAGGGCUCCCAGGCUCUGCAGGCCGAGACACUGAGGAGAGACCAGUGUUCCCAGUAACUGACCUGACUCACUGGGACUCCUGCUACCGGUUUCACUCUGCAGCUGCUCUCACUCUGCACUCUCAUGCCUCUCUCUCACAAGCAUCAUUAUAUCUUCUAAUCAUAAUCUUUUCUUGCUUGUACUCAUGUCAGUAUUCUUUCUAUGUUAAGACAAUAAAGAUAUUUUCACCAAAUCA